ACCACGUCAAUGCGCUUAAUUGGUCUGGGUGCCUAUAGUAUCCCUUUAAACAUGUCAGUAAACAUAUAUAUAGAAACAUAUUAAAGUAAUUAAUCAAUUACACGUCAUUGCAGUUACUACGACAUCAGGCGGAUGCUGAAGAGGAAGGUGAAGGCAGCAGCCGCCUCCAGGAAAACAGGAGGCGGUUCACAAGAACUGGACCUGCUGCCCUAUGAAGAGGAGCUCCUGCAGUUCCUGGGAAGAGAC